ACAUGCAGUCGAGGGGCAGCAUGGUCUUAGCUUGCUAAGGCCGAUGGCGACCGGCGCACGGGUGAGUAACGCGUAUCCAACCUGCCUUACACUCUUGGACAGCCUUCUGAAAGGGAGAUUAAUACAAGAUGUUAUCAUGAGUAAGCAUUUUCGCAUGAUUAAAGGUUUACCGGUGUAAGAUGGGGAUGCGUUCCAUUAGAUAGUAGGCGGGGUAACGGCCCACCUAGUCUUCGAUGGAUAGGGGUUCUGAGAGGAAGGUCCCCCACAUUGGAACUGAGACACGGUCCAAACUCCUACGGGAGGCAGCAGUGAGGAAUAUUGGUCAAUGGACGAGAGUCUGAACCAGCCAAGUAGCGUGAAGGAUGAAGGUUCUAUGGAUUGUAAACUUCUUUUAUACGGGAAUAAACGAAUCCACGUGUGGAUUUUUGCAUGUACCGUAUGAAUAAGGAUCGGCUAACUCCGUGCCAGCAGCCGCGGUAAUACGGAGGAUCCGAGCGUUAUCCGGAUUUAUUGGGUUUAAAGGGAGCGUAGAUGGGUUGUUAAGUCAGUUGUGAAAGUUUGCGGCUCAACCGUAAAAUUGCAAUUGAUACUGGCAGUCUUGAGUACAGUUGAGGUAGGCGGAAUUCGUGGUGUAGCGGUGAAAUGCUUAGAUAUCACGAAGAACUCCGAUUGCGAAGGCAGCUUACUAACCUGUAACUGACAUUGAUGCUCGAAAGUGUGGGUAUCAAACAGGAUUAGAUACCCUGGUAGUCCACACGGUAAACGAUGAAUACUCGCUGUAGGCGAUAUACAGUCUGCGGCCAAGCGAAAGCAUUAAGUAUUCCACCUGGGGAGUACGCCGGCAACGGUGAAACUCAAAGGAAUUGACGGGGGCCCGCACAAGCGGAGGAACAUGUGGUUUAAUUCGAUGAUACGCGAGGAACCUUACCCGGGCUUAAAUUGCAACCGAAUAUGGCGGAAACGCUAUAGCUAGCAAUAGCGGUUGUGAAGGUGCUGCAUGGUUGUCGUCAGCUCGUGCCGUGAGGUGUCGGCUUAAGUGCCAUAACGAGCGCAACCCUUGCCGAUAGUUACUAACAGGUCAUGCUGAGGACUCUGUCGGGACUGCCAUCGUAAGAUGUGAGGAAGGUGGGGAUGACGUCAAAUCAGCACGGCCCUUACGUCCGGGGCUACACACGUGUUACAAUGGGGGGUACAGAGGGCUGCUACCACGCAAGUGGAUGCCAAUCCCAAAAACCUCUCUCAGUUCGGAUUGAAGUCUGCAACCCGACUUCAUGAAGCUGGAUUCGCUAGUAAUCGCGCAUCAGCCACGGCGCGGUGAAUACGUUCCCGGGCCUUGUACACACCGCCCGUCAAGCCAUGGGAGCCGGGGGUACCUGAAGUGCGUAACCG
rnacentral:rRNA from 1 species